AUGCAUAGAGUAAGUAUAUAUAGAGGAGAAACUGAGGUACUAAACUCUGAAACAGUAAUUUAGUUCCACCAACACCUUCCAGAGACCGCUCGCAUCGCUGAUUUUCUGUUUACCUCGAGAAUUAUUUACUUAACCUCAAAAAUUUUCAGUUGAUCCGUCGAACCUUAUUUUUGGUAAGAGAUUUAUUAUGUCGCAGUCAACUUUGAAAUCCAACAAAUAUUGUGUUCCUAACUGUGGAGAUAUGUAUAGUAAACGUCAUCGUUUUCGAAUGAAGAGAAGCAGCCAACAAUUUUCAAACUUUGGCUCGAAAAAGUUAGUUAUCCAUUGCUCAACUCUAAAACUCCUCAACAAAUUUGUAAGAAGUGAAAUUAGAUAGCCUUAAAGGAAUUUGACAACUGCUAUCCCUGAAUUAUUUCUUCCUGGAUCUUCAAAUCAAGGGGAAGAUGGAGAAGUUCAUGACACUGAAGGAAUACAUCUCCAAAGUGAUGUUGAGAGGGAAGUAUCAACAGAGACUUUGAAGAAUUUUAAGCACACUCAGAAAACUUCAAUAAUAUAUAGAAAAAGAUAUCGAGGACAACAAUUAAUUGACACUAGAGGCUGUGGGCACUGCAGAGCUGAUGAUUUUUAUGGAUAAGCUGUUUGAUAGCCUGAAUAUGCAAUUGUGAAGGACACAUUAAAAAUUUGGCAUACUAGAAAUAUUUAAAAAAAUGUAAAAUUUUAAAUAGAUGAUUUUUUUAUAUGAA